rnacentral:misc_RNA from 1 species
GUAGUCAACUACCCUCCCACAGUGACCACCUACCAAUAAGUCUGGUGCACUGGUCGUUAGACAGGAAGACGCAACUAUAAAUUCACAUCUCUCAUUUGUAAAUAGACGCCCGAGGUUGAAUAAAUCAUACAUGCAUUACUGGUAGCCAAU